rnacentral:rRNA from 1 species
GACGAACGCUGGCGGCGUGCUUAACACAUGCAAGUCGAACGGUAAGGCCCUUCGGGGUACACGAGUGGCGAACGGGUGAGUAACACGUGGGUGAUCUGCCCUGCACUUCGGGAUAAGCCUGGGAACCUGGGUCUAAUACCGGAUAGGACCACUGCCUGCAUGGGUGGGGGUGGAAAGCUUUUGCGGUGUGGGAUGGGCCCGCGGCCUAUCAGCUUGUUGGUGGGGUGAUGGCCUACCAAGGCGACGACGGGUAGCCGGCCUGAGAGGGUGACCGGCCACACUGGGACUGAGAUACGGCCCAGACUCCUACGGGAGGCAGCAGUGGGGAAUAUUGCACAAUGGGCGCAAGCCUGAUGCAGCGACGCCGCGUGAGGGAUGACGGCCUUCGGGUUGUAAACCUCUUUCAGCACCGACGAAGCGCAAGUGACGGUAGGUGCAGAAGAAGGACCGGCCAACUACGUGCCAGCCGCCGCUGUAA